rfam:Ailuropoda melanoleuca scaffold557_19, whole genome shotgun sequence.
ACCUGGCUGGCUCAGUUGGUAGAGCAUGCAACUUUUAAUCUCGGGGUUGUGAGUUCAAGCCCCACGUUGGGUG